ACGCUGGCGGCAGGCUUAACACAUGCAAGUCGAACGGUAACAGGAAUUAGCUUGCUAAUUUGCUGACGAGUGGCGGACGGGUGAGUAAUGCUUGGGAAUCUGGCUUAUGGAGGGGGAUAACUACGGGAAACUGUAGCUAAUACCGCGUAAAAUCUUCGGAUUAAAGGGUGGGACUUUCGAGCCACCUGCCAUAAGAUGAGCCCAAGUGGGAUUAGGUAGUUGGUUAGGUAAAGGCUGACCAAGCCGACGAUCUCUAGCUGGUCUGAGAGGAUGACCAGCCACACUGGAACUGAGACACGGUCCAGACUCCUACGGGAGGCAGCAGUGGGGAAUAUUGCACAAUGGGGGGAACCCUGAUGCAGCCAUGCCGCGUGAAUGAAGAAGGCCUUCGGGUUGUAAAGUUCUUUCGGUGACGAGGAAGGUUGAUAGGUUAAUAGCCUAUCAAAUUGACGUUAAUCACAGAAGAAGCACCGGCUAACUCCGUGCCAGCAGCCGCGGUAAUACGGGGGGUGCGAGCGUUAAUCGGAAUAACUGGGCGUAAAGGGCACGCAGGCGGUGACUUAAGUGAGAUGUGAAAGCCCCGAGCUUAACUUGGGAAUUGCAUUUCAUACUGGGUCGCUAGAAUACUUUAGGGAGGGGUAGAAUUCCACGUGUAGCGGUGAAAUGCGUAGAGAUGUGGAGGAAUACCGAAGGCGAAGGCAGCCCCUUGGGAAUGUACUGACGCUCAUGUGCGAAAGCGUGGGGAGCAAACAGGAUUAGAUACCCUGGUAGUCCACGCUGUAAACGAUGUCGAUUUGGGGAUUGGGCUUUGAGCUUGGUGCCCGUAGCUAACGUGAUAAAUCGACCGCCUGGGGAGUACGGCCGCAAGGUUAAAACUCAAAUGAAUUGACGGGGGCCCGCACAAGCGGUG
rnacentral:rRNA from 1 species